UACGUAGGGGGCGAGCGUUAUCCGGAUUCACUGGGUGUAAAGGGAGCGUAGACGGCCAUGCAAGCCAGGGGUGAAAGCCCGGGGCCCAACCCCGGGACUGUCCUUGGAACUGCAUGGCUGGAGUGCGGGAGGGGCAGGCGGAAUUCCUGGUGUAGCGGUGAAAUGCGUAGAUAUCAGGAGGAACACCGGCGGCGAAGGCGGCCUGCUGGACCGCGACUGACGUUGAGGCUCGAAAGCGUGGGGAGCGAACAGG
rnacentral:rRNA from 1 species